rnacentral:rRNA from 1 species
UCGAAUCAGGUAGGACA